GACGAACGCUGGCGGCGUGCUUAACACAUGCAGGUCGAACGGAAAGGCCCUGCUUUUGUGGGGUGCUCGAGUGGCGAACGGGUGAGUAACACGUGAGUAACCUGCCCUUGACUUUGGGAUAACUUCAGGAAACUGGGGCUAAUACCGGAUAGGAGCUCCUGCUGCAUGGUGGGGGUUGGAAAGUUUCGGCGGUUGGGGAUGGACUCGCGGCUUAUCAGCUUGUUGGUGGGGUAGUGGCUUGCCAAGGCUUUGACGGGUAGCCGGCCUGAGAGGGUGACCGGCCACAUUGGGACUGAGAUACGGCCCAGACUCCUACGGGAGGCAGCAGUGGGGAAUAUUGCACAAUGGGCGGAAGCCUGAUGCAGCAACGCCGCGUGCGGGAUGACGGCCUUCGGGUUGUAAACCGCUUUCGCCUGUGACGAAGCGUGAGUGACGGUAAUGGGUAAAGAAGCACCGGCUAACUACGUG
rnacentral:rRNA from 1 species